UACGAAGGGGGCUAGCGUUGCUCGGAAUCACUGGGCGUAAAGCGCACGUAGGCGGCUUUCUAAGUCAGGGGUGAAAUCCUGGAGCUCAACUCCAGAACUGCCUUUGAUACUGGAGAGCUUGAGUCUGGAAGAGGUGAGUGGAACUCCGAGUGUAGAGGUGAAAUUCGUAGAUAUUCGGAAGAACACCGGUGGCGAAGGCGGCUCUCUGGACCGAUACUGACGCUGAGGCGCGAAAGCGUGGGGAGCAACAGG
rnacentral:rRNA from 1 species